UGGAUUUGUAAGGUGGGUUUUUGUCUCCUGUUACUCUAAUAUGCCAAUGACACAUUAUUUAAUAUAUCCUUGCGGUUCUAUUCAAGUGCGGUCAGAGACCAAGGAAAAAAAAGUAUGUGCUCCUUCUUACCAUCUACUUCAUGUUAUUUCACUAGGAUUAUUAUUCUCAUUUUACUACAGUUUUACAUCACUCAUCUGGUAUGUUGUCCGUUGAGUUGGCAUUAUUGGUUUGUUAGUUAUGCCUCGAGAAAAUCCCAUUUGCAUGAUUCCGUUGAUUUUUUUGUGUGUAAGGUGUCCUGAACCAAUACAAGAUCUGAGCUCUCAAAUGACAUAAAUUGGGAGUCAAACCUCACUUUGUCAUAGUUAUAUUGUUGAUCAAUUUGUAUUGUAAAGUUUAGCACUCUCUGUUAUAAUUGGUCAGGUUAUCCCAGGCAUAUGAUUUAUCUCUGUGUAGGUUCUUAAUUUUACCUUGAAGAAUGAGAUGAGCAUAAUCAAACAAUAUUAAUGUUUUUUAGAUUCCCCCACUGUUAUUUAUUUGUGUCUAUAAAUUAUUGUGUUUCUAAAGAAGAAGAAAAAAAAGAAACUGAUGUUUUUGUUGCAUGUGGUUUUCAGACAGGGAACAAUGUUCUUUUCAAGAUGCAUGUAUCAUGUAUGCUCAGUAAUUUUGAUCUAACAACUUAUAUUGUGCACUAAAGGCAAUACGAUACAUAGAGGAAAUGGAUAGUACACUCCGAUCUGAAGCCUGCCAAUUUUGUGCUUAUAAAUGCAUCCGUGUAUUUCUGAAUGUGAGAAUGUGAAGCAACUUUGGGCAGUUUUCUAAAUUUUACAAUCAAUGUGAUU